rnacentral:rRNA from 1 species
GAUGAACGCUGACAGAAUGCUUAACACAUGCAAGUCUAUGAGAAGAUCUACUUCGGUAGAAGGUAUCAUGGCGGACGGGCGAGUAACGCGUAAAGAACUUGCCUCUUAGACUGGGAUAACAGAUGGAAACGUCUGAUAAGACUAGAUAUAAUAGCGACAUGGCAUCAUGUUGUUAUGAAAGGUAACACUAAGAGAGAGCUUUGCGUCCUAUUAGUUAGUUGGUGAGGUAAUGGCUCACCAAGACGAUGAUAGGUAGCCGGCCUGAGAGGGUGAACGGCCACAAGGGGACUGAGAUACGGCCCUUACUCUUACGGGAGGCAGCAGUGGGGAAUAUUGGACAAUGGAGGAAACUCUGAUCCAGCAAUUCUGUGUGCACGAUGAAGGUUUUCGGAUCGUAAAGUGCUUUCAGUAGGGAAGAAGAAAGUGACGGUACCUACAGAAGAAGCGACGGCUAAAUACGUG